rnacentral:rRNA from 1 species
GUGUCAGCCGCCGCGGUAAGACGAAGGUGGCUAGCGUUGUUCGGAAUCACUGGGCUUAAAGCGCACGUAGGCGUCCUGUUAAGUGUCUUGUGAAAUCCCCCGGCUCAACCGGGGAACCGCUGGGCAUACUGGCAGGAUGGAGGCAGGUAUGGGUGCAUGGAACUCUUGGUGGAGCGGUGAAAUGCGUAGAUAUCAAGAGGAACGCCGGAGGUGAAGACGAUGCACUGGGCCUGUCCUGACGCUGAGGUGCGAAAGCCAGGGGAGCAAACGGGAUUAGAUACCCUCGUAGUCC